CCUACGGGUGGCAGCAGUAGGGAAUAUUGGACAAUGGGCGAAAGCCUGAUCCAGCAAUGCCGCGUGAGUGAUGAAGGCCUUAGGGUUGUAAAGCUCUUUUACCCGGGAUGAUAAUGACAGUACCGGGAGAAUAAGCUCCGGCUAACUCCGUGCCAGCAGCCGCGGUAAUACGGAGGGAGCUAGCGUUGUUCGGAAUUACUGGGCGUAAAGCGCACGUAGGCGGCUAUUCAAGUCAGAGGUGAAAGCCCGGGGCUCAACCCCGGAACUGCCUUUGAAACUAGAUAGCUUGAAUCCAGGAGAGGUGAGUGGAAUUCCGAGUGUAGAGGUGAAAUUCGUAGAUAUUCGGAAGAACACCAGUGGCGAAGGCGGCUCACUGGACUGGUAUUGACGCUGAGGUGCGAAAGCGUGGGGAGCAAACAGGAUUAGAUACCCUUGUAG
rnacentral:rRNA from 1 species